rfam:Gossypium raimondii Chr13_contig_5, whole genome shotgun sequence.
UAUUAGAAAGUUAAUUUAUUUUUAUUAUUAAAAACUAGCAUGGCUAACAAGAUAACCAAACAAUGACAUGAUAUGUGCCACACGUACCUCACGCUGACGUACAUAAAAUAAUUUUUAAUAAUAACAAUAAAUGAAAUUUUUAAAA